rnacentral:RNase_P_RNA from 1 species
UGGGGAGGCGAGUGAGGAUCGCGGCGUCGGCCAUGUGCCGGUGUCGAGGAAAGUCCGAGCUCCGCAGGGCAGGGUGCCGGGUAACGCCCGGGCGCCGGAAGGCGACGGAAAGUGCCACAGAAAGCAAACCGCCGAUGGCCGGCAUUUAGCCGGUACAGGUAAGGGUGAAAGGGUGCGGUAAGAGCGCACCGCGCGGCUGGCAACAGCCGUGGCACGGUAAACCCCACCCGGAGCAAGGCCAAAUAGGGGACGAGGGGCGCCCGCCCCGCGGAGGUCAACCUCCACAGUCCCGGGUAGGCUGCUUGAGGCCGUCGGCAACGGCGGUCCCAGAGAAAUGAUCCCCUCCGCUGCGGCGGAGACAGAACUCGGCUUAUUCCGCCUUCCCAUCGC